GGAAAUACCAAGGUGGUAUGAAGAGAUGGGGAUUCCUGAAUCAACAGAGAAAACUUCAAGAAAUCCCUGAGGAAUCUUCCCUUUCCUUCAUCACCGCAGAGCAGACAAAGCAAACCCUCUUGGCUGAAGCGCAAGGCUGCACACUUCUGAGUGGCUGGCAGUUCCCGAAAGUGUCCCACACCACUGUGGAGUCAUUGAAGCCCCAGAGCAUAAAACCAGUGAUAAUCUGGAGUAGCUGAGACAAAGUCCUGCCGGGAUUCAUCCUUUGUUUCUGCUUACUGCAGUAGAGGCUAAUGUACAAGGGUCUGCAAUGAACCAGCCAAUAUGGGUCCAUUAACAAGAACUUUAAGGAUACAAUCUCCAGAGGGGAUGACAAAAUAUGGCUGUAGAUAGAAAAUCUAGGUGUCUCCAACAGCAAAACAGAACUGUAACAAAGAAUAAACAGGCACAUCUGACAUUACUUGGCAAAAAUCUGCAAAGUAGCACAAACCAGGUGUGAGGAAAUGUUUGUGGAUGUGAGGGGGCGUGGUUACAUCACAGAGCCACAGAGGAGAGGAGACACAGAUGCCGAUUCUCACUAUCUUUGGG